rnacentral:rRNA from 1 species
GACCUUGAAAUACCACCCUUUAAUGUUUGAUGUUCUAACGUGGACCCGUGAUCCGGGUUGCGGACAGUGUCUGGUGGGUAGUUUGACUGGGGCGGUCUCCUCCUAAAGAGUAACGGAGGAGCACGAAGGUUGGCUAAUCCUGGUCGGACAUCAGGAGGUUAGUGCAAUGGCAUAAGCCAGCUUGACUGCGAGCGUGACGGCGCGAGCAGGUGCGAAAGCAGGUCAUAGUGAUCCGGUGGUUCUGAAUGGAAGGGCCAUCGCUCAACGGAUAAAAGGUACUCCGGGGAUAACAGGCUGAUACCGCCCAAGAGUUCAUAUCGACGGCGGUGUUUGGCACCUCGAUGUCGGCUCAUCACAUCCUGGGGCUGAAGUAGGUCCCAAGGGUAUGGCUGUUCGCCAUUUAAAGUGGUACGCGAGCUGGGUUUAGAACGUCGUGAGACAGUUCGGUCCCUAUCUGCCGUGGGCGCUGGAGAACUGAGGGGGGCUGCUCCUAGUACGAGAGGACCGGAGUGGACGCAUCACUGGUGUUCGGGUUGUCAUGCCAAUGGCACUGCCCGGUAGCUAAAUGCGGAAGAGAUAAGUGCUGAAAGCAUCUAAGCACGAAACUUGCCCCGAGAUGAGUUCUCCCUGAGACUUUAGGUCUCCUGAAGGAACGUUGAAGACGACGACGUUGAUAGGCCGGGUGUGUAAGCGCAGCGAUGCGUUGAGCUAACCGGUACUAAUGAACCGUGAGGCUUAACCUUACA